rnacentral:rRNA from 1 species
UACGUAGGGUGCGAGCGUUAAUCGGAAUUACUGGGCGUAAAGCGUGCGCAGGCGGCUUUGCAAGACAGAUGUGAAAUCCCCGGGCUCAACCUGGGAAUUGCAUUUGUGACUGCAUGGCUGGAGUGCGGCAGAGGGGGAUGGAAUUCCGCGUGUAGCAGUGAAAUGCGUAGAUAUGCGGAGGAACACCGAUGGCGAAGGCAAUCCCCUGGGCCUGCACUGACGCUCAUGCACGAAAGCGUGGGGAGCAAACAGG